rnacentral:rRNA from 1 species
GAAAGCAUCCCCUUAUGUGAUAACUGACGUUGAAGGACGAAGGCUUUGUGUCCCGAACAGGAUUAGAUACCCCAGUAGUCAAAGCAAAAAAUGAUGAAUGUCAUAGAUUAGAUAAAUAGUUUAUUCUAUAAAUGAAAAUGUAAGCAUUCCACCUCAAGAGUAAUUUGGCAACAUUGGAACUGAAAUCAUUAGACCGUUUAUGAAACCAGUAGUGAAGUAUGUUGUUUAAUUUGAUGAUCCGCAAAAAACCUUACCACAAUUUGAAUAUUUAUAUCUAUCUUCUUUUUUCGUAAGAAAAUAAAAAGGUAAUAUAUUUACCGUUGCACGGCUGUCUUCAGUUAAUGUCGCGAGACUUUGGUUAGUUCCAUUAAAUUAACGUAAACCCUUACUUUAUUUUUAUAUAAAGUAGUUCCCCGCUAUAUUGGAUAU